rnacentral:rRNA from 1 species
ACCUGGGAACUGCAUUGGUGACUGGCAGGCUAGAGUAUGGCAGAGGGGGGUAGAAUUCCACGUGUAGCAGUGAAAUGCGUAGAGAUGUGGAGGAAUACCGAUGGCGAAGGCAGCCCCCUGGGCCAAUACUGACGCUCAGGCACGAAAGCGUGGGGAGCAAACAGGAUUAGAUACCCUGGUAGUCCACGCCCUAAACGAUGCUCACUAGGUGUUGGGGAAGCGAUUCCUUGGUACCGUAGCUAACGCGUGAAGUGAGCCGCCUGGGGAGUACGGCCGCAAGGUUAAAACUCAAAGGAAUUGACGGGGACCCGCACAAGCGGUGGAUGAUGUGGAUUAAUUCGAUGCAACGCGAACAACCUUACCUACCCUUGACAUGUCCGGAAGCCUGCUGAAAGGUGGGUGUGCCCGAAAGGG